CCCUUAGAUGUUCUGGGCAGCACGCGCGCUACAAUGGUCUUCGCAAACGGAUGCAUUCUCGAAGGAGAAUGCCAAUCUUGGAUUCUAUGCCUUGGUCGGGACAGUUGCUUGCAAUUUUUCGACUCGAACCAGGAAUUCCUUGUAAUCGUGAUUCAUCACAUCACGAUGAAUACGUCCCUGCCCUUUGUACACACCGCCCGUCGCUCCUACCGAUCGAAGAGUUAGGUGAAUUGUUUUGAUCGAUAAGAUUUGACUAUGGUCAACUCUCGUUGUGAAAUUCUGUGAAUCUGACUGUUUAGAGGAAGGAAAAGUCGUAACA
rnacentral:rRNA from 1 species